GGUUAGCCACAAGUAGCCACCAUUGUCUACGGUAUUGAGGUUCACUUAAAAACUCGAUCAAAUGUUUCGCCGCAUCAACGAAGUGUUAGAAGAAAACGGAUGCGUUUGUUUGAACUCACUUGAAAACCAAGUUUCUUCAUUCAGAAAAUAAACAACACAUUGUACAUGGUCUUAUUAUAAUGAUGUGCAUACAUAUUGUAAUAGUGCAAAUUUAUUGUAUGUAUUGAAAGAUUAUGAAAAAUUCUUGAUCAGUCAUUAAUUAAAUGGAGAGAUUUUAUAAAGCUACACAUACAUAU
rnacentral:misc_RNA from 1 species